rnacentral:lncRNA from 1 species
AUGUGGGAUUGGGGGGCCUUCUCUUGCUGUGCAUGGAGUGGACCCCCGCCCUGUGCGGCUGCCUCCCCGCCCCACCCCACCCCUGCACAGAAGGCCCUGAACUGGGCUGGAGCCAAGGCUAAAAGAAAAAGACACCCUCCGCUGCAGCGGCAAGGCUGUCGUUGCAGGACACAGGGCCUCCCUCCGAGCCGCCAAAUGGCCCGCCUGCCCCUCCCACCGAGCUCCUGGAACACCUGGACACCCACGCUGCUCAGGUUCCUCCCGGGGCAACUGGCGCCUGCUGCAGCGGGCGUGGACAUAGGCCGGUGGCAGGCAGCUCUGCCAGCGCCACCCACCUGGGUCCCAGGAGCUAGGGUUUGCGAGGCGAUGUCUCUGUUAGCCCCUGGUGGCCAUGGAGUGCCUGGCCUUGGUGACUGCCCACCACGGUUUCCCGGAUGCUUCCAGGAGGCCUGGCCACAGUGCAGAGGCCACGCCUACUCAGGGUUGCAGACACCCGGCAGCCCGAGCAAGCUCCUGGGACUCACCCGCCUGGAAGAACACCUCAUGGGACACGCACACACGGUCAGCAGCGGCGCAGGGCGUGGGCAAGCAGUGGCCUGGGACGGAUACCUUGAAACACUGGAAGCAGCUCAGGUUCUGGGCUGUGCGCAGAGGUGCGGUGGUGAGGGCCAGCCCCGCUGCCUGCCACCCCCGCCGCCGUCCCCCUUACCUGGGAGAUCCUCAUUUACCUGGCGUCGUCGCGCGGUUCACUGUCACAUGGUUCAUCGCCCCAGCCAGCAACAGGGACGCCCACAGGACCACGACGAGUCCCUCCAUGGCGCUCAGGCCCUGCCUGGGAGUGGGGGGUGGUGGCUUCACCUGGCCCCGCGGCUCUGUCUGCUGCCCAGACUCGGCCUCGCCCCUCCGCCCCCCACCCACCUUGUCCCCAACCCCGUGUCCUGGGCCCCUCAGGCCAGCCGGCUCCCAGCCCACACCGGUCCUGCACCUGUGUCUCGGGGAGGAGUCGUGGAGGCCCCCGGGGCAGCUCUGGCUCAGGGACAGGCAGGCGCCUGGAGUCCUGAGACCAGGUCUUCCCACCUGCGGCUGCCCUCGGGGCAGCCCAGUCCUGAGCACACCCAGCUCCACACAGUCUGGAAAGGCAGAGGGGGAGUCAGGGGGCUUCAAGGGGGAGGAGCGAGGGAGGGGGAUCAAGAGGGGUCAUGGUGA